UACGGAGGGUGCAAACGUUGCUCGGAAUCAUUGGGCGUAGAGCGCACGUAGGCGGCCUGAUAAGUCGGGUGUGAAAGCCCUGGGCUCAACCCAGGAAGUGCACUCGAAACUGUCAGGCUUGAAUAUGGAAGAGGGUCGCGGAAUUCCCGGUGUAGAGGUGAAAUUCGUAGAUAUCGGGAGGAACACCAGUGGCGAAGGCGGCGACCUGGGCCAAUAUUGACGCUGAGGUGCGAAAGCGUGGGGAGCAAACAGG
rnacentral:rRNA from 1 species